UGGUGGGCAGCUUCGGCGCCGAGGGAGAGGUGGAUGCCGAGGCUGGCUGGGCUGUUAGAGCAGAACUAGGUCUCAGCUGAGAGGUGCAUGACUUUGGAAGUGGUUCCCUCUGGCUAAUCAGUCUGAAACACCAGGCACACCAGGCAUUCCCCAUCAGCUGUUUAGCACUAAAAACUAAUUGUUGACCAGCUGGGUUGUAAGCUCUUUGAGGCAGAAACUGUACAUAGCUGUGGUCUGUACCUGUUGUGACGGAGAAAUUUGGCUCAGGCCUUCCUCUGAGUCAGGUAUAUCUGUACUGGAAGUUGCCCAGCUUGUGCAGGUUUUGGGUUCUGAGCAACACAUGUGUUGGCCACUCAGGGUAAAAGCCAUCAGUCUCUCUGCACAAGGAGCUCUCAGCUAUGUGUCUGCACAGCUGACAGGUGAAAGAAAAGGGACACUUUCUAAGUACAUUAAAUAAAUAUAUAUAUAUAUAAAGAA